rnacentral:sRNA from 1 species
AGAGCUGCCAGGCUCGGCGCUGCGCUCUCUCUGGAGCUCGCUGUGUCUGGGGCCCGCGCCUGCGCCCCCGGGACCCGUCUCCCCCGAGGGCCGGUUGGCGGCCACCUGGGACGCGCUUAUCGUGCGGCCAGUCCGGCGCUGGCGCCGCGUGGCAGUGGGAGUCAAUGCAUGUGUUGAUGUGGUGCUCUCAGGGGUGAAGCUCUUGCAGGCACUUGGCCUUAGUCCUGGGAAUGGGAAAGAUCACAGCAUUCUGCAUUCAAGGAAUGAUCUGGAAGAAGCCUUCAUUCACUUCAUGGGGAAGGGAGCCGCUGCUGAGCGCUUCUUCAGUGAUAAGGAAACUUUUCACGACAUUGCCCAGGUUGCGUCAGAGUUCCCAGGAGCCCAGGUUCUUCUUUGCGGUCCAGUUGGUCCAAAGCUACAUGAGCUUCUUGAUGACAAUGUCUUUGUUCCAUCAGAGUCAUUGCAGGAAGUGGAUGAGUUCCACCUCAUUUUAGAGUAUCAAGCAGGUUGUAACCUCCAUUUCUG